rnacentral:lncRNA from 1 species
ACCUCACAUGAAUCAAGCCAACGAGAAACUCUAUGCAGUCACUCAACCUAUUAGAAAUAAAUGCGAAAUCAAUACCAUUUCAACACCAUCGUUAUCGGAAUACUUGAUUUGAGUUUCUUAGUCAAGAGGAGGAAAAGCAACGAUCAUAACUUUCACAGGGAGCACGUCAGUGACUGGUGAAAGGAGAGGGAAAAGUUGUUCUCAGACCGGAGAUAUGAUCUGAAUACUUGCAGCACAGAGGAUUGCUUUAAAGUCGGCCAACCCUAACCCUAAUCCUAGAUGAUGGUUUAAAGCUGAGCGAAAGCUUAAGUCUACUACACCAAACCAGGAACGGUUAUUUCGGAGGGUUUUCACACAUUUUCUCAACCAAUAUCAAUCACAACGACGAUCCAAGUUUACUUGACCAAAGUAUCAUUAAUACAGUGUAAUAGUUAUAUAAAUAUUGAUAAAGAAAAUCGCUAUAACUGAAA